rnacentral:misc_RNA from 1 species
AGCAGCCGCGGUAAUUCCAGCUCCAAUAGCGUAUAUUAAAGUUGUUGCAGUUAAAAAGCUCGUAGUUGAAUUUCGGGGUUAGUAGUUUGGUCGUGCCAAUGGUAUGUACUGGGCUCACUGAUUCCUCCUUCCUGAUGAAUUGUAAUGCCAUUAAUUUGGUGUUGCAGGGAAACAGGACUGUUACUUUGAAAAAAUUAGAGUGUUUAAAGCAAGCUAACGCUUGAAUACAUUAGCAUGGAAUAAUGAAAUAGGACGUUCGAUCCUAUUUUGUUGGUUUCUAGGAUUGACGUAAUGAUUAAUAGGGAUAGUUGGGGGCAUUAGUAUUCAAUUGUCAGAGGUGAAAUUCUUGGAUUUAUUGAAGACUAACUACUGCGAAAGCAUUUGCCAAGGAUGUUUUCAUUAAUCAAGAACGAAAGUUAGGGGAUCGAAGACGAUCAGAUACCGUCGUAGUCUUAACCAUAAACUAUGCCGACUAGGGAUCGGAUGAUGUUAAUUUUUUAAUGACUCAUUCGGCGCCUUA